UCAUGAUCUCUACUAGAUCCAGUGUAGUCAGUCUUUUCUUUAGUUUUUUUAUCUAGGAUCUAUCUAGUAGGGCAUGUAAUGCAAUGUUGACUGUUUGACUCUUGGAUAGUUUCUAUCUAUGUCUUUUGUACUCUAAGUCAACACUUAUGUAUUAAAACAUCUUUGUACUCAAAGAUCUUUUAAAUAUAUAUAUACACUUUGACUUUCAAUGAAUAUCUCUGAAUGUGAUCAACUUGAAUUACUUUUAAAUUAUGAAAUACUUG
rnacentral:lncRNA from 1 species